UCCGUAGGUGAACCUGCGGAAGGAUCAUUACAGAAAGUAAACGCGGAUCGAACCGCGAACUUCUAAACCUUUGACGAUUGACUCAUGUUGCCUCGGCGGGUUCUCCCGCCAGAGGAUACAUCAAAACUCCUGUUUUAACGGUGUUGUCUGAGCUACAAGCAACGAAUCAAAACUUUCAACAACGGAUCUCUUGGUUCUGGCAUCGAUGAAGAACGCAGCGAAAUGCGAUAAGUAGUGUGAAUUGCAGAAUUCAGUGAAUCAUCGAAUCUUUGAACGCACAUUGCGCCCCUUGGUAUCCCGAGGGGCAUGCCUGUUCGAGCGUCAUUUCACCACUCAAGCCUGGCUUGGUGUUGGGCGACGUCCCCUUUGGGGACGCGCCUCGAAACGCUCGGCGGCGUGGCACCGGCUUUAAGCGUAGCAGAAUCUUUCGCUUUAAAAGUCGAGGCCCCGUCUGCCGGAAGACCUACUCGCAAGGUUGACCUCGGAUCAGGCAGGGAUACCCGCUGAACUUAAGCAUAUCAAUAAGCGGAGGAA
rnacentral:rRNA from 1 species